UACGGAGGGAGCAAGCGUUACUCGGAAUUAUUGGGCGUAAAGAGCGUGUAGGCGGCCAGAUAGGUCAGCUGUGAAAACUCGAGGCUCAACCUCGAGAUGUCGGCUGAAACCAUCUGGCUAGAGUCCGGAAGAGGAGAAUGGAAUUCCUGGUGUAGCGGUGGAAUGCGCAGAUAUCAGGAGGAACACCGAUGGCGAAGGCAGUUCUCUGGGCCGUAACUGACGCUGAGGAGCGAAAGCGUGGGGAGCAAACGGG
rnacentral:rRNA from 1 species